rnacentral:rRNA from 1 species
CCCAGACUCCUACGGGAGGCAGCAGUGGGGGAUAUUGCACAAUGGGGGAAACCCUGAUGCAGCGACGCCGCGUGAAGGAAGAAGUAUCUCGGUAUGUAAACUUCUAUCAGCAGGGAAGAAAAUGACGGUACCUGAGUAAGAAGCACCGGCUAAAUACGUGCCAGCAGCCGCGGUAAUACGUAUGGUGCAAGCGUUAUCCGGAUUCACUGGGUGUAAAGGGAGCGUAGACGGCGACGCAAGUCUGGAGUGAAAGCCCGGGGCCCAACCCCGGGACUGCUCUGGAAACUGCGUCGCUGGAGUACGGGAGGGGCAGGCGGAAUUCCUGGUGUAGCGGUGAAAUGCGUAGAUAUCAGGAGGAACACCGGCGGCGAAGGCGGCCUGCUGGACCGUGACUGACGUUGAGGCUCGAGAGCGUGGGGAGCAAACAGGAUUAGAUACCCUCGUAG